AGUGAACGCUGGCGGCAGGCCUAACACAUGCAAGUCGAGCGGAUGAAGAGUGAUUGCUCGCGGAUUCAGCGGCGGACUGGUGAGUAAUGCCUAGGAAUCUGCCUAGCAGUGGUUGAUAAGGUCCGGACACGGGCGCACAUACCGCAUACGUCCUUACGGACAAAGUGGGGAAUCUUCGGACCUUACGCCCUCAGAUGAGUCUAGGUCGGAUUGGCUAGUUGGCGGGGUAAAGGCCUACCAAGGCGACGAUCCGUAGCUGGUCUGAGAGGAUGAUCAGCCACACUGGAACUGAGACACGGUCCAGACUCCUACGGGAGGCAGCAGUGGGGAAUAUUGGACAAUGGGCGAAAGCCUGAUCCAGCCAUACCGCGUGUGUGAAGAAGGUCUUCGGAUUGUAAAGCACUUUUGGUUGGGAGGAAGGGCAGUAAGUUAAUACCUUGCUGUUUUGACGUUACCCAAAGAAUAAGCACCGGCUAACUUCGUG
rnacentral:rRNA from 1 species